CAGUCGCCGCGGUAAUACGUAGGGUGCAAGCGUUAAUCGGAAUUACUGGGCGUAAAGCGUGCGCAGGCGGUUUUGUAAGUCUGUCGUGAAAUCCCCGGGCUUAACCUGGGAAUGGCGAUGGAGACUGCAAGGCUAGAGUUUGGCAGAGGGGGGUAGAAUUCCACGUGUAGCAGUGAAAUGCGUAGAGAUGUGGAGGAACACCGAUGGCGAAGGCAGCCCCCUGGGUCAAAACUGACGCUCAUGCACGAAAGCGUGGGGAGCAAACAGGAUUAGAGACCCCCGUAGUCCCUGUCUCUUAUAC
rnacentral:rRNA from 1 species